rnacentral:lncRNA from 1 species
UAAUUUCAUCUUGUAAAUCCCAUAAAUUUCUCAAAAAAUAUAAUAAGUAAACAUGAAGAUGCUCUUAGUUGUUGUUCCAACAUCAAGAAAGGAUUUGGCAUAUAUUGGCUUCAUCUCUGUCGGGCAUCGUGGCCUCGUAUUGGAAAUCUUUUCUUCUGUGCUUUCAAUCUAUCGGGUGUUCCAAGCGCCUACCAGAUGUCAUUUGUGUGUGUAUGUGAGCAUCUAAAAAAACAAGUCAAUGGUGCAUCAUGUUAAAGGACAAUAACAAUUAUUCUAUUGAAGAAUAUCAGCACAUAAUCCAACUUGAUCUUAAAUCCAUGUCCUAGACACCAAAUCCAUUGAGUACACAUAAUUAAAAUAUGCUAAUUGAUUGAGCUAUAAUAGUUUUGAUGUAGUUUUAUAGUUAUGUAGUUCUGCUAAAAGCAAGUUGGAAACUAUCAUUAGCAAAACAUUUCAGCACCUACUCAAUGUUUAUAUACAAAAUUUAAGCAUCCAGUUUGUUAGACAAAAAAAAUAUGCAAGCAACAUCACGAAGAAUUCUCCAUAAGUUAAUUUUCCCAGAUGAAUUGGACUCUACAACAAGCUCACUUUUGAAAACAAAUUACACCGGCCUGAUACACCCAAGAACCUGAAAAAAUGAAGUUCAACUCCUCAUAAGCAUAACAUCAAACAUGAUGUGGGCAGAAUAUGAAUAGAAGCACACAUUUAUUUGGGAAUAACGCAGCUACUGAUCUGAAAGAGGGAGAGGAGCAGCACCACCCCAUGACCAACAGUACAAAGGGAGAUGAGAGACGGCUCUGCCUGUUGCAGUGUGUGUAGAAAGUCACCAGAGAGCAGUACCUAUCCACAGCGUGCGUGCAGUAGACAUGAGAUAGCUAGAGAGCUGCACACGUUCGAGGGAAACCAAGGAAUGCAAUGUCGUUUCCCAAGCGGAACGCGGACCCCCCGAACCAUAACAGGCGCCAGCCUUCGUCCUCGGGGUAGUAUCCAUCCUCGAGAGCCCGAACGAACGGGAUCCGCCAUCCCAGCUCCAGGUAGAUGAACAUGAAGGGGAGGUACACCGUACACGUAUGGGGAUU